rnacentral:sRNA from 1 species
AUGCAUCACUCGUGCACUCCGGUUCUGAGCGCGCCGUCCACACCCGCCCUGACGACUGCUCGCUCGUUUUGUUAGCC